rnacentral:rRNA from 1 species
AACGAACGCUGGCGGCAUGCCUAACACAUGCAAGUCGAACGAUGCCUUCGGGCAUAGUGGCGCACGGGUGCGUAACGCGUGGGAAUCUGCCCUUGGGUUCGGAAUAACUCAGAGAAAUUUGAGCUAAUACCGGAUGAUGACGUAAGUCCAAAGAUUUAUCGCCCAAGGAUGAGCCCGCGUAAGAUUAGCUAGUUGGUGGGGUAAAGGCCUACCAAGGCGACGAUCUUAGCUGGUCUGAGAGGAUGAUCAGCCACACUGGGACUGAGACACGGCCCAGACUCCUACGGGAGGCAGCAGUGGGGAAUAUUGGACAAUGGGCGAAAGCCUGAUCCAGCAAUGCCGCGUGAGUGAUGAAGGCCUUAGGGUUGUAAGCUCUUUACCAGGGAUGAUAAUGACAGUACCUGGAGAAUAAGCUCCGGCUAACUCCGUGCCAGCAGCCGCGGU